CCUACGGGAGGCAGCAGUGGGGGAUAUUGCACAAUGGGGGGAACCCUGAUGCAGCGACGCCGCGUGGGUGAAGAAGCGCCUCGGCGCGUAAAGCCCUGUCAGCAGGGAAGAAAAUGACGGUACCUGAAGAAGAAGCCCCGGCUAACUACGUGCCAGCAGCCGCGGGAAUACGUAGGGGGCAAGCGUUAUCCGGAUUUACUGGGUGUAAAGGGGGCGCAGACGGCGAUGCAAGCCAGGAGUGAAAGUCCGGGGCCCAACCCCGGGACUGCUCUUGGAACUGCGUGGCUGGAGUGCAGGAGGGGCAGGCGGAAUUCCUGGUGUAGCGGUGAAAUGCGUAGAUAUCAGGAGGAACACCGGUGGCGAAGGCGGCCUGCUGGACUGCAACUGACGUUGAGGCCCGAAAGCGUGGGGAGCAAACAGGAUUAGAUACCCCGGUAGUC
rnacentral:rRNA from 1 species